rnacentral:rRNA from 1 species
GACGUAGGGUGCGAGCGUUGUCCGGAUUUAUUGGGCGUAAAGCGCGCGUAGGCGGCCUCGCAAGUCGGUUGUGAAAUCCCGGGGCUCAACCCCGGGACUGCGUCCGAUACUGCGAGGCUGGAGGUAGGUAGGGGAGAUCGGAAUUCCUGGUGUAGCGGUGAAAUGCGCAGAUAUCAGGAGGAACACCGGUGGCGAAGGCGGCUUCCUGGACCGACACUGACGCUGAGGCGCGAAAGCUAGGGGAGCAAACGGG